UACGAAGGGUGCAAGCGUUACUCGGAAUUACUGGGCGUAAAGCGUGCGUAGGUGGUUUGUUAAGUCUGUUGUGAAAGCCCCGGGCUCAACCUGGGAAUGGCAAUGGAUACUGGCAAGCUAGAGUGCGGUAGAGGGUAGUGGAAUUCCCGGCGUAGCGGUGAAAUGCGUAGAGAUCGGGAGGAACACCAGUGGCGAAGGCGGCUACCUGGACCAGCAUUGACACUCAAGCACGAAAGCGUGGGGAGCAAACAGG
rnacentral:rRNA from 1 species